rnacentral:rRNA from 1 species
UACGGAGGAUGCAAGCGUUAUCCGGAUUCAUUGGGUUUAAAGGGUGCGCAGGCGGGAUGUUAAGUCGGCGGUGAAAUUUUGCAGCUCAACUGUAAGAGUGCCUUCGAUACUGGCUUUCUUGAGUGUGGAUGAAGUAGGCGGAAUUUGUGGUGUAGCGGUGAAAUGCUUAGAUAUCACGAGGAACUCCGAUUGCGCAGGCAGCUUACUAAACCACUACUGACGCUCAUGCACGAAGGCGUGGGGAUCAAACAGGA